GUGGGAUUUCAUGACUGCCCCUGGCUUGCAAAUGCUGUUUCCCUGCCGACUGUGGUCAUCCCCUCUCCACUCCACCGUUGUUUCUUGGGUGUACAGGGUAGGAGGGCUAAUAACUUGUCUUUCUAGGUCAAUGUAUUGCAGACCAAGAGAAGCUAUCUGGACCCAGAAAGGACUCUCACAAUGGCAUGACAUGAGGACAGACUUGGAGCUUAAUGCAGUAACUGAAGAGAACCGCACAGCAUAUUCGCUGGAGAAGAGUGUGCAGGGCUCCUUCUUUCAUCAUCCCUGUGGUACGUGGCC
rnacentral:lncRNA from 1 species